rnacentral:rRNA from 1 species
AGUGAACGCUGGCGGUAGGCCUAACACAUGCAAGUCGAACGGCAGCACAGUAAGAGCUUGCUCUUACGGGUGGCGAGUGGCGGACGGGUGAGGAAUACAUCGGAAUCUACUUUUUCGUGGGGGAUAACGUAGGGAAACUUACGCUAAUACCGCAUACGACCUACGGGUGAAAGCAGGGGAUCUCCGGACCUUGCGCGAUUGAAUGAGCCGAUGUCGGAUUAGCUAGUUGGCGGGGUAAAGGCCCACCAAGGCGACGAUCCGUAGCUGGUCUGAGAGGACGAUCAGCCACACUGGAACUGAGACACGGUCCAGACUCCUACGGGAGGCAGCAGUGGGGAAUAUUGGACAAAGGGCGCAAGCCUGAUCCAGCCAUACCGCGUGGGUGAAGAAGGCCUUCGGGUUGUAAAGCCCUUUUGUUGGGAAAGAAAAGCAGCAGGUUAAUACCCCGCUGUUCUGACGGUACCCAAAGAAUAAGCACCGGCUAACUUCGUG